GAUGAACGCUAGCGACAGGCCUAACACAUGCAAGUCGAGGGGUAGCAUGGAAGUAGCAAUACUUUUGAUGACGACCGGCGCACGGGUGAGUAACGCGUAUGCAACCUACCUACUACAGGGGAAUAGCCCGAAGAAAUUCGGAUUAAUGCCGCAUAAUACAGGGGCACCGCAGGGUGAUAUUUGUUAAAGAUUAAUUGGUAGUAGAUGGGCAUGCGUUCCAUUAGCCAGUUGGUGAGGUAACGGCUCACCAAAGCAACGAUGGAUAGGGGAACUGAGAGGUUUAUCCCCCACACUGGUACUGAGACACGGACCAGACUCCUACGGGAGGCAGCAGUGAGGAAUAUUGGUCAAUGGGCGAGAGCCUGAACCAGCCAAGUCGCGUGAAGGAUGACUGCCCUAUGGGUUGUAAACUUCUUUUGUACUGGGGUAAAAAAGAGGACGUGUCCUUUCUUGCAAGUACAGUACGAAUAAGCAUCGGCUAACUCCGUGCCAGCCGCCGCAGUAA
rnacentral:rRNA from 1 species